rnacentral:rRNA from 1 species
GACAGAAAGACCCUAUGAAGCUUUACUGUAGUUUGGAAUUGACUUCGGGUUUAUUUUGCGCAGCAUAGGUGGGAGGCUAAGAACUUACAUUUGUGGAUGUAAAGGAGCCAACAGUGAGAUACCACUCUGAUUAAACUAGAAUUCUAAUCCUGAUGCCGUUAUCCGGCCAAGAGACAUUUUCAGAUGGGCAGUUUGACUGGGGCGGUCGCCUCCUAAAAAGUAACGGAGGCGUGCAAAGGUUUUCUCAGACUGGUCGGAAAUCAGUCGUAGAGUGUAAAGGCAUAAGAAAGCUUGACUGUGAGACUUACAAGUCAAACAGAGACGAAAGUCGGCCUUAGUGAUCCGACAGUUCUGAGUGGAAAGGCUGUCGCUCAACGGAUAAAAGUUACUCUAGGGAUAACAGGCUGA